UACAGAGGGGGCAAGCGUUGUUCGGAAUUACUGGGCGUAAAGGGUGCGUAGGUGGUCGGGUAAGUCUGAUGUGAAAUCUCGGAGCUCAACUCCGAAACGGCAUCGGAAACUAUUCGGCUAGAGGGUUGAAGGGGGGACUGGAAUUCUCGGUGUAGCAGUGAAAUGCGUAGAUAUCGAGAGGAACAUCAGUGGCGAAGGCGAGUCCCUGGACAACUCCUGACACUGAGGCACGAAAGCUAGGGGAGCAAACGGG
rnacentral:rRNA from 1 species